rnacentral:rRNA from 1 species
UACGAAGGGGCUAGCGUUGUUCGGAUUUACUGGGCGUAAAGCGCACGUAGGCGGAUCGUUAAGUCGGGGGUGAAAUCCUGGAGCUCAACUCCAGAACUGCCUUCGAUACUGGCGAUCUUGAGUCCGGAAGAGGUGGAGUGGAACUCCUAGUGUAGAGGUGGAAUUCGUAGAUAUUAGGAAGAACACCAGUGGCGAAGGCGGCUCACUGGUCCGGUACUGACGCUGAGGUGCGAAAGCG